rnacentral:sRNA from 1 species
UGUACGGGACGGCGCAGUAUCCUAGUCAGAACAGCCAGCUCCCAGGAAGGGCCUAAAAAUCCUUUGAAGGGCAUAUCGAUGAAGUCCCUGGUGCCUGCUUUUUACGCCCAGUUUAGGGUGGGUGCUGGGGGUUAAGGAUCCCGGGCGCAUUCCAACGGCAUGGAAUAUCCGACCCGGUUUCCGUGGAGACCUGUUGUUGUGCGACGGCGGUUGCAUGCCGUUUGGCUGCCGAAGACCGCGUACGAAACAGGUAUGAACCUGCAUUGCGGUGCGCAGAAUCGUGUGCUGUGUGCAGCGUAGCCUGCCUUGCGUGGGUAAGCGGGGAGGGGGAGACAAGCAUCUCGGUCUGUGGCCACAGAUUGGAGUGCGAUUGCCCCGGAAACCUUACCUGCAAAAGAGGCUAAGAGUUGGAUUGGGCUGCGGUGGAAAACACCUAGGCUGUAAUGGGCAGACGGGGGAUUGCAGUGCGGACUCAGUGGCAAUCGGGUCGCCAUUUCCGGCAACGUUUGGCCGGUGGGAUCAAAGGGGAACCGCCCCUUCGGCAACGGGGGGUUCCUGCCGGGGAAAUCCAACCCGACCUAAGCCGCAAGAUUUAUCCCGCCUGCCGCCGUCUUAU